ensembl:lncRNA
GUUGUUUUUUUUUUUUUGUGGCUCGUGAUGAUCGCGUCAUCAACGUGCGUCGGGUCUGGCGUUUUGCACCAUGGCGUCGCGCGGAGGGGCGGAGGUAAUGUUUGAAAGUAAAGCGUUGAGAAGAGCAAUCGCCUUCUGUUCACUGCAAAUAGCGUAUUUAGAGUGUUUUAGCGGAGCUUUGAAAACACGAACCCCCACAGAACUGCAGACCGCGUUUUUACGAGUUUAUUUAAAGAUCUCGCGCAUGCGCGCUCUCUGCCGGUGGCUCAUAACACAAAUGGUCUUUUCCUGCUGUUUAGUACAGUUUAUAUAUCACCAAAGGGAGCCAUUAUUACAUACAUAUUACAUUAUUAUUAUUAUUAUUAUUAUUAUUACACCACAACACGGCCGUCCCUUCACUUCCACCCUUUUACAACAGAAUAUUGCGUUAUAGAUUCAAAUCGUGACCAACGGUGUCAUCUGUCACUGUAUCCGACACACUGUACAGUAUCUUGUCGCUACAAUCCUCCAGUCCACGCACGUCCAUACCGCGUUUAUUCAUUUGUAUGAUAUUAGAAAUAAACUGACGACCCGGUUCAUAAAUUAAUAAAAUGCAUGUAGUGUACACCAGAAUACAGCCAUGAUUCUGGAGCUGUGUAAUCAAUAAAGUAAUGACAAUAUUGUAAAACCACUGUACUCUUGAAACUGUAAUCAAAAGAAUAAUACCAAUGCACAGCUAUGAUUGUAUUUACUGGAAUGCAUGCAUGCAGUACAACUGAUAUGGACUGAGAGACAUUCGAAAUCAGAGUUUGAACCCACCAGAAGACGACUCCCAGAGGUGUGGACACUGACUUUCACACCUUUACUGAACUGUAUAAACGCCUGUAGUCAACCAGGGUUCUCCAGUUGGCUGGUGGAGGCAACAGACAGUCACUAUGGGGGGUCAAUGGGCCCUGGGGCCUGUUGAUUGCAGAGACCAGAUUGUGUUAAAGAGAUGUUCUCUUUAACACAACACCCUGUCCUUUAUUAAAUACUUUUGAUUUUAACUUUUCGAUCCGCGAUGUCUUUUAACAGUUGACUGUAUUUUUGUUUUAUUUCUCAUUUUAUUGUUGGUCAUUGUUGUUGUUUUUAAUAUAUGUUUUAUCAUAUCAUCGUAAAUACGAUUUUCUUUUGUCCGUCCUGACUUGAUUUUCUCCGUUUUGUUGUUCUGCGCAUCUAUUUCUGUCAUAGUUCAAAUUCCUGCCUCACAAACCAUUCAAAGGACUCAGAUUUUAAAUGCAUGUAUACAUAUAAUUUAGUGUGCUAUUGUGUGGCAGAGGUACAAGAAAAGUAUUCUAAUUCAAAUUAUUUUGCUUUUUUAUAUUUAUUUAUAUGCAUGAGUCUACCCAUUUUGUGGUGAGUAGAUGGCAUUGCAGUAUGUAAUAAAAAAAAGAGGGGAGGUUGCUGGCAGUUGAAGGGUGAGGCUUUCAUGUAGCCUCCUCUGGCUGAUACCCCCACACACAGGUCUGCAUGUUAAUUAUCACUUUGUCGUCACUUUGUUACUUGAUCGCUAGUGCACUUUAUGCUUAAUAUUCAAACUUUUUUAAUAUUUUAAAUGUUUACCUUUAACUUUAUUCCCUUGUUUUAUACUAACACAUAGCCUUAUUCUUUUUUUUUUUUUUACCAACCCAUUGCAUUAGCAUUUCAUUUUGCUUUAUUUAUUUAUUACUUGUGCACUGUUGUCCUGUUGUCUACACUGUCUACUGUCACGCACCAACCGCCAAGACAAAUUCCUUGUAUGUUUGACAUAUUUUGGCAAUAAAUGUUUCCUGAUUCCUGAUAAAUAAAUAAUCUAUGAAUAAAUGAAUAAAUAAAUGCUGAAUAUUUACAUAUAAACAAAUAGAUAUCAUAUAUUUAUUUCUACAUUUCUGUUCGCCUAUAUUUCUUUACGUAUUUACGCUUGAGUCAUUUUUGACCACCAUAUGGAUGUAUCCUUAGUGCGACGGCACAAUAA